CCCGCCGUGCUCCUCCCCGCGCCCCUCCUGCCGCCGCGGCCGGAUCUGUCUCAGGGGUGGGGGGGCGCUUGGCCCUGCGCACUGAGCGAUGUUUGUCCGCCAUCGCGGCGGACGAGGGUGAAGGAAACGCCGCCGCCGCCGCCGCCGGAGAUAGGGGCCUGCGCCACCGCCGCCCAGAACCCCCCGUAGCCGCCUCCCUCCUCCCCGCCCCGCACACCCCGGGGGCCGCCGCCCGGAGUGAAGGUCGCCAGGGGCUCCUGCCCGGGGUCUCCCCGUAGCCCCCCCCCUCACCCCGCAGGAGGCGCCGCUCGAGCCGGGUCCGAAGAUGUCGAACCUGAGCAAGGGGACGGGCAGCCGGAAGGACACCAAGAUGCGGAUCCGAGCUUUCCCCAUGACCAUGGAUGAGAAAUAUGUAAACAGCAUUUGGGAUCUCCUGAAAAAUGCGAUCCAAGAGAUCCAGCGUAAGAACAACAGUGGUCUCAGCUUUGAGGAACUGUAUAGGAAUGCAUAUACUAUGGUGUUACAUAAACAUGGAGAAAAAUUAUACACUGGACUACGAGAAGUCGUCACUGAGCAUCUCAUAAACAAGGUGCGAGAAGAUGUGUUAAAUUCAUUGAAUAACAACUUUCUUCAAACACUAAACCAAGCGUGGAAUGAUCAUCAGACAGCAAUGGUGAUGAUUAGAGACAUUCUCAUGUACAUGGACCGUGUAUAUGUACAACAAAAUAAUGUGGAGAAUGUCUACAACUUGGGGUUAAUAAUUUUUCGAGAUCAAGUUGUACGUUAUGGCUGUAUAAGAGAUCACCUACGACAGACUCUGUUGGAUAUGAUCGCAAGAGAGCGGAAAGGAGAAGUUGUAGAUAGAGGCGCAAUAAGAAAUGCUUGCCAGAUGUUAAUGAUCCUAGGUCUUGAAGGAAGAUCAGUCUAUGAAGAAGACUUUGAGGCUCCAUUUUUGGAGAUGUCUGCAGAAUUCUUUCAGAUGGAAAGUCAGAAAUUUUUAGCUGAAAAUAGUGCUUCAGUAUAUAUAAAGAAAGUAGAAGCUAGAAUUAAUGAAGAAAUAGAACGGGUGAUGCACUGCCUUGAUAAAUCAACAGAAGAGCCAAUUGUGAAAGUUGUUGAAAGGGAGCUUAUAUCCAAACACAUGAAGACUAUAGUGGAAAUGGAGAACUCUGGGCUUGUUCAUAUGCUGAAAAAUGGAAAGACAGAAGACCUUGCUUGCAUGUACAAGUUAUUUAGCCGUGUGCCGAAUGGCCUGAAGACAAUGUGUGAGUGUAUGAGUUCGUACCUGAGGGAGCAAGGUAAAGCUCUAGUAUCUGAAGAGGGAGAAGGAAAGAACCCAGUUGACUAUAUUCAGGGUUUACUGGAUUUGAAGAGUAGGUUUGAUCGGUUUCUUCAAGAAUCUUUCAAUAAUGACCGGCUCUUCAAACAAACUAUUGCGGGUGACUUUGAGUAUUUCCUCAACCUCAACUCUAGGUCUCCAGAGUACCUCUCAUUAUUUAUUGAUGAUAAGCUGAAAAAAGGAGUCAAGGGACUAACGGAGCAAGAAGUAGAGACUAUAUUGGAUAAGGCAAUGGUUCUGUUUAGGUUUAUGCAAGAGAAAGAUGUUUUUGAACGUUACUAUAAACAGCACUUGGCAAGAAGACUUCUUACAAACAAGAGUGUUUCAGAUGACUCUGAGAAAAAUAUGAUAUCUAAAUUAAAGACUGAAUGUGGAUGUCAAUUCACAUCUAAACUGGAAGGAAUGUUCAGGGAUAUGAGCAUCUCAAACACAACAAUGGAUGAAUUCAGGCAACAUCUACAGGCUACAGGGGUCUCAUUAGGUGGUGUUGAUCUCACAGUGCGGGUUCUCACAACAGGCUACUGGCCUACUCAGUCAGCCACACCGAAGUGCAACAUCCCUCCAGCCCCCAGACAUGCUUUUGAAGUAUUUAGAAGAUUUUAUUUAGCCAAACACAGCGGUCGACAGCUGACACUCCAGCAUCACAUGGGAUCGGCAGAUCUCAAUGCCACCUUCUAUGGACCUGUUAAAAAGGAAGAUGGCUCAGAGGUUGGUGUAGGAGGUGCCCAAGUAACUGGCUCAAAUACAAGGAAGCACAUAUUGCAAGUUUCCACUUUCCAGAUGACGAUACUAAUGCUCUUUAACAACAGAGAAAAAUACACGUUUGAGGAAAUUCAACAAGAAACUGAUAUCCCUGAAAGAGAGCUUGUUAGAGCCCUACAGUCCCUUGCAUGUGGCAAACCAACACAACGAGUUCUCACAAAAGAGCCUAAAUCAAAAGAAAUAGAAAAUGGUCAUAUAUUUACAGUGAAUGAUCAGUUCACAUCCAAAUUGCACAGAGUCAAGAUUCAAACGGAUAAUGUAACUUUGUGGCCACAGCCGAAGUUCCUGACUGAAGUGGUAUCUGCCUUUCAUCUGAGCCAGACAAUAUACUGACUGGUUUUCUUCCUUCAAAACCACACUUACAUAAAGAUGAUGAACGUAUACGUACUUUGUAUGUAUGGCUAGCAGCACAACAGAACCAAUUCUUGACUCCAUGAGAGGAUGUAUCUUGCAGCAUUCUCUAGUGAACAACUGAAAAGGAAGGUUCUUUCUAUCUUUAGCCAGAGGGAAGGCUGCCACGAUGUUCAGGGUUUUUGAGUGGAGAGAGUAAAAUGAGAAAAAAGGAUAUCUUGAAGCUAGACGACUCCUAUUCAAAAGCAGGAAACAUUGAAUUUGUGUAUGGGAGAAGAGGUGCCUAGAAAUAAUAGCUGUAGGUGGAGAGAGACUGGAAGCAAGGACAGAAAUAAGAAAUUGGUGAUGGUAGAAAAUGCACAAAAUCCAAAAAGGGCAGAGAACAAAGUGAAUAGGUUGAUUGGUAUUUUUCUUUUGGCUAAUUAUCUUCAGCAGUUUAAUUGGUUUGGAAAGUAACCUUGUAAAUAAAAUUCUGUCCCUUUCCUUACUAUGUUGCAAUUCCCACUGUAAUUGAAACAUCGCCUUAAUUGAAAAAGUCUCUUGACAAGCAAAGGAAAUAAAACCCAACUACGCUGUCAGAAUUGUUUUCUUUGACACACACUCUAAAUUAUGUGCAAUUUAAUAAGAAAACACCAUAUAUAACCCAUAGUUUCAAAGUUAAUUUGGCAAAAUCUGUGUAGUUUUAAAGAGAAGAAUCUUCAAUAUGACAGUAGCCAAAAAAAGUUUUGCAAACAAAGUUCAGUACUGUUUGAAAAGCCGAGAAGUUUAGUACAUUAAAUUUUAAACAGUAAAUAGCAACUGACAAAAUAGUAACACAUACUUACAUGUGCAUUGAUUGCUAUGUAUGUCUGUCUUCUUGUGGCCACGUUUCAUUAAAAACCACACUUGAAAAUGUCACAAACCAAGAAACUUAAUUCCUCUGUGGGUGAAAUUUAAAUUUUGUGCAUAUUAAUGUUAUUGAAAUUAAUAAUUUUGACUUUUGCUUAAGGUAUUUCAUCUUCUCUUUUAGUUGCUGCCAAACAAGGGGAAUCGGACCCAGAAA